rnacentral:rRNA from 1 species
CGGACGGGUGAGUAACGCGUGGGUAACCUGCCCUGUACAGGGGGAUAACAGUUGGAAACGGCUGCUAAAACCGCAUAACAUGGAGAUACCGCAUGAUAUUUCCAUCAAAUAUUUAUAGGUACAGGAUGGGCCCGCGUCUGAUUAGCCAGUUGGCAGGGUAAUGGCCUACCAAAGCGACGAUCAGUAGCCGACUUGAGAGAGUGACCGGCCACAUUGGGACUGAGACACGGCCCAAACUCCUACGGAAGGCAGCAG